CCUACGGGAGGCAGCAGUAGGGAAUAUUGCUCAAUGGGGGAAACCCUGAAGCAGCAACGCCGCGUGGAGGAUGUAGGUUUUCGGAUUGUAAACUCAUUUUGUUAGAGAAGAUAAUGACGGUAACUAAAGAAUAAGCACCGGCUAACUCCGUGACCGCAGGCGCGGUAAUGCGGAGGUAGCAAGCGGUAGUCUGAAUCACAGCGCGUAAAGAGGGCGUAGGCGGGAUGGCAAGUCAGAUGUGAAAUCCUAUGGCUUAACCAUAGAACUGCAUUUGAAACUGUUAUUCUAGAGUAUGGGAGAGGUAGGUGGAAUUCUUGGUGUAGGGGUAAAAUCCGUAGAUAUCAAGAGGAAUACUCAUUGCGAAGGCGACCUGCUAGAACAUAACUGACGCUGAUGCGCGAAAGCGUGGGGAGCAAACAGGAUUAGAUACCCGGGUAGUC
rnacentral:rRNA from 1 species